rnacentral:lncRNA from 10 species
CAGAGACAGAAGCCUGUUGCCCUCCACUGCCAGCCUGGCAGGAAUUCAAGUCCUGCCUCCCAGCAGCCCAGGACCUAGGCUGAGACCUGACUGACAGGAGCAGGAACAAAGAAUGCAGCACCACUGGGGAUUACCCAGGGUCAGAUUCUGGAGAUAACGAGACCAGCUGGGAAAGCAACCUGGAUGCUGGGCUCAGCAUAGGAGGACAGAGGGGGCCUGUGAAGGGUAACGCUGAGGGAAGCUGAGAGCAGACGAGGUCGAGACAGUGGAAGGCAGAGCCAGGGGACCCUGAGUGGAGUCUCCUUCUGCUCUGUCCUUGCUUUGAUGAUGGGCAGUACUGCCCCUCCUGGGCUCAGGCUUUUUUUUUUUUUUUUCUUGAGACGGAGUCUUGCGCUGUCACCCAGGCUGGAGUGCAUUGGCGCGACGGGAUGGAGGGUGAGCUCGGCUCACUGCAAACUCUGCUUCCUGGGUUCAAGCGAUUCUCCUGCCUCAGCCUCCCGAGUAGCUGGGAUUACAGGCGCCCACUACCACGCCCAGCUAAUUUUUUGUAUCUUUAGUAGAGACAGGGUUUCACAUGUUGGCCAGGCUGAUCUCGAACUCCUGACCUCGUGAUCUGCGCACCUCGGCCUCCCAAAUUGCUUUCAUGCUGAGAUCACCAACACAUGGGACCACACAAUUCAUCCUUGGGAAGGCCAAGGUGGGAAGUGAAAUCUGGCCCAAUAUUGAAGCCAUAAGCAUAUGUUGAACUUUCAUGAGCCAUGAGCAAGGACUCACACCCCAGCAGGACUCUGCAGCCUGGGAGAAGCCAAGUUUCAUCACUGAGGUCCUGAUUCCUGGACCAGGUAGCAGAACAGGAAAUUGAGGCCAAGGGCAGGAGAGAUAGUCCAGAGGGAGCUCUCUACUCUGGGAGUUUUGUGCCUGAGAAGGCUGGAGUCUCCCCAAGAUUUCUCAUCCAACCAGGAAUAUCUCAGGGGCCAAAUCACACAGCCUGGCUUAUGGAAAGUCCCCUAGUGAGUAUUGGAGGGAGGGGAGUCACUCAUGGGAAAACAGAAGCUGGUGCUUCUCUGCAGGGGCCCUUCCACCCCUACCCAGAGUGGGGCAGUGGGAAAGUGCACCAGACCACAGAGUGACCAGCCUCAGUCACCACCCAUCAAUUCCUAAGCCUAAGUCUUCACAUCUGACAAAUGUGUCUCCUAAAGCAUCACAAAGCAUUGCCAGCAUUCUAUCAGACACAGGGAGAGAGAGCAGAGAAUAAGUUCCAAAUUAAAGAUGUGAGUAAUGGUCCCAUCAAUAUAAAAAACGUACGAGUGUAUGUGUAUGUGUCUGUAUGUACACAUGUGUAUGCACACUGAAAAAAAUCCAGAAGAAUGCACAUACCACGAUGGAAUUGGAGAAAUUACAAUUGGAGUAGAAACCUUUUAACUUUCUACACGUCUCUGUUGCUUCGUUUUUCAAGCUGGGAUGCUAUAAAUGUAAUAAUUAAAACAAUUUUUUUUUUCCUCUGAAG